ensembl:lncRNA
CUAAAAAAAAUAUUUAAUUUACCCUAUGUAUGGAGACACUUUUGGGACACCCUGUAAAAAUGUACAGCAAUUGUAAAUGUAACAACUAACCUUACCUAGCUACUCAGCGUCUAGUUAAACGAAUGUCAUAACCCCAUGUUACAAGCAUUACAGACUGAGCCACUGGUAGUGGUUUAAUAUUGAAUCAAGGCAAACAGCUUUCAGAAAAAUGGACUAUUACCAAUGGGUAAGCAUGAAUGUGCUACAGACUGAUUGCUAGUUAGCUAUUUUAGCAUUACACAACUAGCUAAAUAACUAUCUAGGUAGUUAGUUAGUUAAUGCUAUUAGAUGUAAUUAGAUACCAUUAAUGAUAAUGAGCUUUGCACUUCAGUGAAGACUGUUUUCUCUAAGUAACUAUAACUAGUGUAAGUAACCAAAUAUAUAAAGUGUCAUGAGGUAAAAUAUCAUUCCUAGCUAACAUUACUAUUUACCUGACAGAAACUUGUUUCUCCUCUUGCUCUCUCUCAGAUCAGGGAUUGUGCAACAAUAUGGUAGUUAGUUAAAUAGAUAGAGAAGUAAUCCCAGAGGAAAAUUCACAAUUAGCACACAAUCUAACCCCACCCCCCCCCCCCCCCCCCCCCCCCCCCCCCUACACACACACACACACACACACACACAAUUAGUAGUGUAAUGUAUAAAUAGUGCACUGUAUUUUAAAUAAUGUAUCAAAUGCUAGUGGUGUUAUUUUAUGUCACCCAAAAUCCCAUAGUGUGUCACAUAUUACACUGUACUGUAUUUUAUUGGCAAAUACACACUUUAUGUAACUGAAUAAAAAUGCAGCUCACAGGGUUUACAGUGCAAUCUGAAUUUAAGACUUUCAUGGCAAAGUUCAACUUCUGAAGGUCCAAAAAUUGACUGAUGAACUAACUCUACGUCUGCAUAGAUUACAUAAUAAUGAUUAUCCACUACCAGAGUCACUUUUUUACUGAUAGAAAUGGGUCACUGGGGCAUCUGGAUUCUGAAGUGGGAAGAAAAAACCGAGAAGGUAAAAAGAGAGCUCAAGAGAAGAAAAGAAAAGGAGAGAGAGAGAGAAUUAAAGAGAGAAUAAGAAAUGGGACGAAAGAGAGAGCAAAGGAAUUCGGGUGGGUGGAGGAAAGGACUGCAGAAUCUGUGAGUCUUUGAGGCUACUGAGACGUAGAGCAGAUGUGGACUGCCAAACCUUUCACAGUAUAGGUCCUAGUGUGCUGUUGCCUAUGGAAGCAACCAGGGUCGUGGGAAGCCUGGAGCCUUUCCCAGGGGAUUCGGGGCACAAGACAGGGGACACGCUGGACACCCAUCGCAGGACACAUUCACACACACAUUCACAUACUACGGACCAUUUAGAGAUGCAAAUCUGCCUACAGUGUAUAUCUUUGGACUGGGGGAGGAAACUGGAGUACCCGGAGGAAACCUUUGAAGCACAGGGAGAGCAUGCUCUGUGCACACAGGGUGGAGGAGGAAUUCGAACCCCCCAUCCCUGGAGGUGCGAAGCAAAUGUGCUAACCACUAAACCACCAAAUAAUAACUCAACAAUUCUAAUGAAACUCUUAUCAGUCUUUAAGCUAAAUAACCAAACUGUAACACUAUUUAUGUGUUCAGAUAUUGCCAUUUAUCAAGAACAAAAAGAAGCAACAGCAACAAUAUUAUAUUCAGGAUGUACUUUUCUUGUACAAUUUUGUUUUAUAACACUGAUUUGUUGUUCUGUUCUAUACAGUAUGUACACUUUGUUCAUCAUUAAAUAUAUAUAUAUAUAUAUAUAUAUAUAUAUAUAUAUAUAUAUAUAUAUAUAUAUAUAUAUAUAUAUAUAUCAAUUAAAUAGGGGGCAGUGGGAGCAGAAAGAGCUCUGUUCACUCAGAGAAAGAUGAAGAAUGUGAUGGGGAAAGAGGAAGGAUGUAGAGAAUCAGGUUGCUUAAUAUAGACAAACAUUUUCAGUAUCUGUCACAGUCCCUAAAGCCUCAGUAAUGUGUACCAUGGGAUUAACACUCCUGUGUUUAUGAGCACACACACACACACACAUUAGUAAAAUCCAACAGUUCUCAUCAGUGUGUGACUGUGGACUCUCUGACCUUACUGUGAGAGUAAACAGCAGUCAUAAAGUAGCCAAACACGGCUAAAGCCAUGAACUAGUUUAUUAGACAUCCAUAUAUCCGGAGCUGCUCCCCAAUAAAGACGUCAUGGAUAGUGAUGAACUCUCAGCUAGUGGGAGGAAACAAUAGAGAGAGAGAGAGAGAGAGAGAGAUGAAUUAUAGGUGUACUAUAUAACUCAGUAUACUAUAUAUAGUGCAAAAUAAUAUUCUUUUCAGUGUUUCACACACUUCACAUUCCAGGUGCACCGCAACAUGGCUGCACUGGAAAAAGUGCAAAUCCUUCCCCACUUUUGUAUAUUGCACUGUGUUUAUUGUCUUCUUAUGUACUUUUUUUCAUUAUGUAUGUUUUUAUUCUGUUUUGAUCGUUUGUUUUGACUUGGGUCCAUACGGCAUAAGGAAACCCCAGCAUGCUCAGCACUUAGUCACUGACUUCAUGUCUCUUUAGUUAAUGUACAGUAUAAUUCAAAAGUUUGGACAUGCAUUGUAAUAGAGAGGGGUUUAUUUUCUCCCCCAUAUUUUCAGUAAUUUCUACCUUUUAAAAUAAUAGUGAAGACAUUCAUUGGAUCUGACUGGACGGAUCUGGAGUCUGUCCCGGGAACACUAGGGUACAGGGCACCAUGCAGAC